GUCGAACGGAGAGGCCCCGCUUGCGGGGUACUCGAGUGGCGAACGGGUGAGUAACACGUGGGUGAUCUGCCCUGCACUUCGGGAUAAGCCUGGGAAACUGGGUCUAAUACCGGAUAUGACCUCCCUUUAGUGUGGGGGGUGGAAAGAUUUAUCGGUGCAGGAUGAGCCCGCGGCCUAUCAGCUUGUUGGUGGGGUAAUGGCCUACCAAGGCGUCGACGGGUAGCCGGCCUGAGAGGGUGGACGGCCACAUUGGGACUGAGAUACGGCCCAGACUCCUACGGGAGGCAGCAGUGGGGAAUAUUGCACAAUGGGCGGAAGCCUGAUGCAGCGACGCCGCGUGGGGGAUGACGGCCUUCGGGUUGUAAACCUCUUUCGACAGGGACGAAGUGAAAAUGACGGUACCUGUAUAAGAAGCACCGGCUAACUACGUGCCAGCAGCCGCGGUAAUACGUAGGGUGCGAGCGUUGUCCGGAAUUACUGGGCGUAAAGAGCUCGUAGGUGGUUUGUCACGUCGUCUGUGAAAUUCCGGGGCUUAACCUCGGGCGUGCAGGCGAUACGGGCAAUACUUGAGUGCUGUAGGGGAGACUGGAAUUCCUGGUGUAGCGGU
rnacentral:rRNA from 1 species